rnacentral:lncRNA from 1 species
ACCCACGGUCCAUGGAAGCACCGAGACGAGAUCCGCCUCCUUGGAGAGGGCGCAGUCCAGGAGCGGAGAAGUUGGGGCCAGGCCAUGCCCCUCUGGCUUAUACUUGCCGGUGGUGCCAUCGCUGGAUUGUCGAGUAACUAUGCGACACUGGAUCUGGGAGGCAUCGGCCGGAGUCAAAGGCUUAAGAAGAAAGACGAGUGCGGUAAAAGGAAGGCAAUAAGGCACCGAAGCUACAAGCAGGGCACCUAAUAAAGGGGGCAGAGAUAGAGGACAAGGAGGCAUGGACGCCAUCCGCGUGUCGUGCGCCGGCCUGGACCAUAGGUGUUUGAGGGCCCACGACGUCUCAUGCUACCCCUCAAGGCUCCUCCCUGAAGCCAACCCGAGCACACCGCAUGUCCGGCGGCUACUGUCGGCCUUCUGGGACUCGGGGUACCCAGACCUGCCUGCCUGUGGCCCAGGACGGGCCCGCUUCACUAGAGUGACGCAACAAGCCCAGUGAUAACCCACAAGUAUAAGGGAUCACAACAGUUUUCGAGGGUAGAGUAUUCAACCCAAACAUAUUGAUUCGACACAAGGGGAAGCCAAAGAAUAUUCUCAAGUAUUAGCAGUUGAGUUGUCAAUUCAACCACACCUAAAAGACUUAGUAUCUGCCGCAAAUCUAUCAGUAGCAAGGUAGUGUGAUAGCAACAGUAACCAGUAGCAACAAAGUGACAGCAGUGGUGACAGAGUAACAGUAGCAGCAGUAACAACAGUAGCGGCAAAGUAACGUAGCAAGGACCAGUAGGAAAAACUCGUAGGCAUUGGAUCAGUGAUGGAUGAUUAUGCCAGAAGGUAUUCAUCAUGCAACAGUUAUAACACGGNNNNNNNNNNNNNNNNNNNNNNNNNNNNNNNNNNNNNNNNNNNNNNNNNNNNNNNNNNNNNNNNNNNNNNNNNNNNNNNNNNNNNNNNNNNNNNNNNNNNCUUAAUGCUUAAUAUGUAAGCAGCCUCUCCUAGGUAAUUCGUUGAAAAACAUUAGUUCAAGUAAUCCUUUACACUCUCUAAAAACUCCACAUUGUUUUCAAUCAGCAAUAUGUCAUCCACAUAUAACAUUAGAAACGCUACAGAGCUCCCACUCACUUUCUUGUAUAUAGAAGAUUCUCCAACAACUUGUAUAAUCCCAAAUGUCUUGAUCACCUCAUCAAAGCGUUUAUUCCAACUCCGAAAUGCUUGCACCAGUCCAUAAAUAGAUCGCUAGAGCUUGCAUACUUUGCUAGCAUUCUUUGGAUCGACAAAACCUUCGGAUUGCAUCAUAUACAAGUCUUCCUUAAGAAACCAUUAAGGAACCCCAUUUUGACAUCCAUCAUCAUAUACAAGUCUUCCUUAAGAAACCAUUAAGGAACACCAUUUUGACAUCCAUCUGCCAAAUUUCAUAAUCGAAAUAUGCAGCAAUUGCUAACAUGAUUCGGACGGACUUAAGCAUCGCUACCAGUGAUAAUGUAUCAUCGUAGUCAACAACUUGAACUUGUGAAAAUACUUUUUCCACAAGUCGAGCUUUAUAAAAGGUCACAUUACCAACCGCGUCCGUCUUCUUGAAGAUCCAUUUGUUCUGAAUAGCCUUGCAACCUUCAGGUAAUACUUCCAAAGUCCACACUUUGUUUUCAUACAUAGACCCUAUCUCGGAUUUCAUGGCCUCUAGCCAUUUAUUGGAAUCAGGGCCCACCAUUGCUUCUUCAUAAUUCGCAGGCUCGUUGUUGUCUAACAACAUGAUAGAUAAGACAGGAUUUCCGUACCACUCAGGAGCAGUACGUGAUCUGGUCGACCUGCGAGGUCCGAUAGUAACUUGAUCCGAAACUUCAUGAUCACCAUCAUUAGCUUCCUCCUCAACCGGUGUUUCCUCGACACAGAUUUCCCUCUGCCCCGCGCCACCAUCUUGAGCGAGCAGAGGUUCCAAAACCUCAUCAAUUCUUUCGAGAGAAACUAUUUCUCAAGAAAAGCUUCGUUCUUAGAAACAAACACUUUGCCCUCGGAUCUGAGAUAGAAGGUGUACCCAACUGUCUCUUUUGGACAACUAUGAAGACGCACUUUUCCGCUUUGGGUUCCAGCUUUUCAGGCUGAAGCUUUUUGACAUAAGCAUCGCAUCCACAAACUUUAAGAAACGACAACUUUGGCAUCUUGCCACACCAUAGUUCAUAUGGUGUCGUCUCAACGGAUUUUGAUGGUGCCCUAUUUAAAGUGUAUGCAGAUGUCUCUAAUGCAUAACCCCAAAACGAUAAUGGCAAACCGGUAAGAUACAUCAUAGAUCGCACCAUAUCUAACGAAGUAGGAUUACGACGUUUGGACACACCAUUACGAUGUGGUGUUCCAGGCGGUGUCAACUGUGAAACAAUUCCAAAUUGUCUUAAGUGAGCACCAAACUCAAAACUCAGAUAUUCGCCCCCUCGAUCAGAUCAUAGGAACUUAAUCUUCUUGCUACGAUGAUUUUCAACUUCACUUUGAAAUUGCUUGAAGUUUUGAAAUGUUUCAGACUUGUACUUCAUCAAGUAGAUAUAUCCAUAGCUACUCAAAUCAUCAGUGAAGGUGAGAAAAUAACGAUAUCCGUAGCGCGCCUCCACACUCAUUGGCCCGCACACAUCAGUAUGUAUGAUCUCCAACAAGUCACUUGCACGCUCCAUUGUUCCGGAGAAUGGAGUCUUAGUCAUCUUGCCCAUGAGGCAUGGUUCGCACUUGUCAAGUGAUUCGAAAUCAAGUGACUCCAAAAUUCCAUCAGCAUGGAUUUUCUUCAUGCGCUUUACACCAAAAUGACCUAAGCAGCAGUGCCACAAAAAGGUUGCGCUAUCAUUGUUAACUCUACAUCUUUUGGUCUCAAUGUUAUGGAUAUGUGUGUCAUCAUAAUCAAGAUUCAAUAUGAACAAACCCCUCACAUUUGGUGCAUGACCAUAAAAGAUAUUACUCAUAAAAAUAGAACAACCAUUNNNNNNNNNNNNNNNNNNNNNNNNNNNNNNNNNNNNNNNNNNNNNNNNNNNNNNNNNNNNNNNNNNNNNNNNNNNNNNNNNNNNNNNNNNNNNNNNNNNNAACACAGUUUUGAACUCAAAAGGACAUGCAUAUAUUUGAGCCACCCAAUGCAAGGAACAAAAGAUUUGGUGUCCACCGGAAAAAAAUAUUCACAAUUCCAUCGAAUGUUGUUAGUGCUGGAUGCCACAUUUGUAGAAAAAUCAGGCUCAGACUUGUGAGAAGGAGAUAUACCUCACUCAUGAUGAUCUAUCACGCACAGCUAAGCCGAUAGAUAAGAAAUUAAUUGGCGACCGUAUUGUCGGAUUUCGGGCUCCACAAAGCCCUAAGGAUCCGAACANNNNNNNNNNNNNNNNNNNNNNNNNNNNNNNNNNNNNNNNNNNNNNNNNNNNCUAAGGAUCCGAACACUGGGGCGUGUAUGAAGAUCUCCCCUGCUUCGCCUCGCAUGUCUCACUACUCGAUGGAAACAAUGAAGGACUCACUCGAAGGUUCAGGCCGCUGCGAAGCAUAAAACACUACACCUGCUUUGAUGGAUUGCCUCUCUCUGAGGUUGAGGAACGAGAUGGUACACGACUUUUGCGCCUCCAGAGGCCAAGUGGCUAAGCGUGCUGCUCUAGGGUUUCGAUCCCCUCUCUCAACUAUCCUACCCUAUCUAUUUAUAGUGGAGGCCCGGGUCCUCUUCCCUNNNNNNNNNNNNNNNNNNNNNNNNNNNNNNNGGGUCCUCUUCCCUCUUAGCUUUGGCGGGAAGGGAUUCCACAACGACCAAUUUUGAAGGGGAACAUGCUCCCCUAACAAGAGAUGGUCUUCACCUGCAAAGUAAUUGUCCACCCCAUAGAGACCGGCUCGUGGAUGACGUUUGCCCUACUGGCGGGAGACUGCGGCUUUGUUGCACCAGAAGAUAAACCUUUGGGGGAUGCCUUUGGGAAGCAUGUACGCCCCACCUCCUUUGCACCAAAGGGGAAACUAUCUCGUCCUGCCAUAUGCUGCUCGCCUAUCCUUCCCUGGUGUCACCCUUGACUGCCGAGGACCGGCCCUGCCUCGUAAUAUCCACCAAUCCGGACGGGUCCUGAAGAGGCCCCCCUACGGGUCUUGACGCUGCUCCUCCUCAUGAGGCUUAGCUCCUCACGAGGGCCUGCCCUUAAGCCGUGCUGGGUGAUACGUCUCCAUCGUAUCUACUUUUCCAAACUCUUUUUCCCUUGUUUUGCACUCUAGUUUGCAUGAUUUGAAUGGAACUAACCCGGACUAAUGUUGUUUUCAGUAGAAUUGUCAUGGUGUUGUUUUUGCGCAGAAAUAAAAGUUCCCGGAAUGACCUGAAAAUUUACGAAGAAUUUUUUGUGGAAUAUAUAAAAAAUACUAGCGCAAGAAUCAACCGAAGAAGUGGAGCGUGGAGCCCACAAGCCCACCAGGCGUGCCCCCCUGGCCGCGCCUAACAGGUUUGUGGGGCCCACAUUGCUCCACCGCCUCCCAUUCCACCNNNNNNNNNNNNNNNNNNNNNNNNNNNNNNNNNNNNNNNNNNNNNNNNNNNNNNNNNNNNNNNNNNNNNNNNNNNNNNNNNNNNNNNNNNNNNNNNNNNNGAGCACAUACUCAAAAUGUUUGGGUUACACGGUCGUCUGACUUCACUUGGAGUCGAACUUCCGGAUGAUGCUAUAAUUGACUGAAUCCUCCAGUCUCUCCCAUCAAGCUACAAAGGCUUUGUGCUUAACUACAACAUGCAAGGGAUGGAGAAGACCAUUCCCGAGUUGUACUCGAUACUCAAGUCUGCAGAAGUAGAAAUCAAGAAAGAGCAUCAAGUGUUGAUGGUCAACAAGACCACUAGUUUCAAGAAGGGCAAGGGUAAGAAGAACUUCAAGAAAGACGGCAAAGCUGUUGCUGCGCCCGGUAAGCCAGAUGCUGAGAAGAAGAAAAAGAAUGGACCCAAGCCUGAGACUGAGUGCUUCUAUUGCAAGGGAAAAGGUCACUGGAAGCGGAACUGCCCCAAAUACUUAGCGGACAAGAAGGCCGGCAACGUUAAAGGUAUAUGUGAUAUACAUGUUAUUGAUGUGUACCUUACCAGCGCUCUUAGUAGCUCCUGGGUAUUUGAUACCGGUGUUGUUGCUCACAUUUGCAACUCAAAGCAGGAACUGCGGAAUAAGCGGAGACUGGCCAAGGACGAGGUGACGAUGCGCGUCGGGAAUUGUUCAAAGGUCGAUGUGAUCGCCGUCGGCACGCUACCUCUACAUCUACAAUCGGGAUUAGUUUUGAACCUUAAUAAUUGUUAUUUAGUACCAGCUUUAAGCAUGAACAUUGUAUCAGGGUCUUGCUUAAUGCGAGACGGCUACUCAUUUAAGUGAGAGAAUAAUGGUUGUUCUAUUUAUAUGAGUGAUAUGUUUUAUGGUCAUGCUCCGCUGGUAAAUGGUUUAUUCUUGAUGAAUCUCGAUCGUGAUGUUACACAUAUUCAUAGUGUGAGUACCAGAAAAUGUAAAGUUGAUAAUGAUAGUCCCACAUACUUGUGGCACUGCCGCCUUGGUCAUAUCAGCGUUAAGCGCAUGAAGAAGCUCCAUACAGAUGGACUAUUAGAGUCUCUUGACUUUGAAUCAUUUGACACAUGCGAACCGUGCCUCAUGGGCAAGAUGACUAAGACUCCAUUCUCAGGAAUAAUGGAGAGAGCAACCGACUUAUUGGAAAUAAUACAUACCGAUGUGUGUGGUCCAAUGAACGUUGAAGCUCGCGGUGGUUAUCGUUAUGUUCUCACUCUCACCGAUGAUUUGAGUAGGUAUGGGUAUAUCUACUUGAUGAAGCACAAAUCUGAGACGUUUGAAAAGUUCAAGGAAUUUCAGAGUGAGGUUGAGAAUCAACGUGACAGAAAAAUUAAAUGUCUACGAUCUGAUCGUGGAGGAGAAUAUUUGAGUCACGAGUUUGGCACACACCUAAGGAAGUGUGGAAUCGUUUCACAACUGACGCCNNNNNNNNNNNNNNNNNNNNNNNNNNNNNNNNNNNNNNNNNNNNNNNNNNNNNNNNNNNNNNNNNNNNNNNNNNNNNNNNNNNNNNNNNNNNNNNNNNNNCAUUGUGAUCUAUUUAUUCACACAUGUAUUACUGUUUCCUGUUAAUACAAUUAUAGCAUGAACAAUAGACGAUUAUCAUGAACAAGGAAAUAUGAUAAUAACCAUUUUAUUAUUGCCGCUAGGGCAUAUUUCCAACAGUCUCCCACUUGCACUAGAGUCGAUAAUCUAGUUACAUUGUGAUGUAUCGAACACCCAUAGCAUUAUGGUGUUGAUCAUGUUUCGCUCGUGGAAGAUGUUUAGUCAACGGGUCUGCAAUAUUCAGAUCCGUGUGUACUUUACAAAUAUCUAUCACUCCACUCUGGACAUGGUCCUGGAUGGAGUUGUAGCGGCAUUUGAUGUGCUUUGUCUUCCGGUGAAAUCUGGGUUCCUUGGCUAUGGCAAUGGCCCCAGUGUUAUCACAGAAGAGUGUCAUUGGACCCGACGCGCUUGGAACCACUCCAAGGUCGGUGAUGAGCUCCUUCAUCCAAAUUCCUUCAUGAGCUACUUUUGAAGAAGCUAUGUACUCCGCUUCACAUGUAGAUGCUGCCACGACUUCUUGCUUGCUACUGCACCAGCUCACCGCCCCACCAUUCAACACAUAUACGUAUCCGGUCUGUGACUUAGAGUCAUCCGGAUCUGUGUCGAAGCUAGCGUCGACGUAACCCUUUACGACGAGCUCUUCGUCACCUCCAUAAACGAGAAACAUUUCCUUAGUCCUUUUCAUGUACUUAAGGAUAUUCUUGACCGCUGUCCGGUGCUCCAUACCGGGAUCACUUUGGUACCUCCCUACCAAGCUUAUGGCAAGGUUUAUAUGAGGUUGGGUACACAGCAUGGCAUACAUUAGAGAGCCCACGGCUGAUGCGUAGGGGACAUAACUCAUCUUCUCUCUAUCUGCUGCCGUGGUCGGCGACUGAGUCUUAGUCAAUCUCAUAGCUUGCAAAACUGGCAAGAACCCUUUCUUUGAGUUUUCCAUAUUGAACUUCAAUAUCUUGUCAAGGUAUGUACUUUGCGAAAGACCUAUGAGGCAUCUCGAUCUAUCUCUAUAGAUCUUGAUGCCUAAUAUGUAUGCAGCUUCUCCAAGGUCCUUCAUUGAAAAACUCUUGUUCAAAUAGGCCUUUAUGCUCUCCAACAUCUCUAUAUUAUUCCCCAUCAAUAAUAUGUCAUCCACAUACAGUAUGAGGAAAGCUACAGAGUUCCCACUCACUUUCUUGUACAGUCAGGCUUCUCCGUAAACCUGUAUGAACCCAAACGCUUUAAUCACCUCAUUAAAGCGAAUGUUCCAACUCCGAGAUGCUUGCACCAGCCCAUAGAUGGAGCGCUGGAGCUUGCACACUUUGCUAGCACCCUUAGGGUNNNNNNNNNNNNNNNNNNNNNNNNNNNUUGCUAGCACCCUUAGGGUCGACAAAACCUUCUGGUUGCGUCAUAUACAACUCUUCCUUAAGGUUCCCGUUAAGGAACACUGUUUUGACGUCCAUUUGCCAAAUUUCAUAAUCAUAAAAGGUGACAAUUGCUAACAUGAUUCGGACUGAUUUCAGCUUCGCUACGGGAGAGAAAGUCUCUUCGUAGUCAACUCCUUGAAUUUGUCGAAAACCCUUUGCGACAAGUUGAGCUUUGUAAAUGGUUACAUUACCGUUUGCAUCAGUCUUCUUCUUGAAGAUCCAUUUACUUUCUAUGGCUCGCCGCUCAUUGGGCAAUUCCACCAAAGUCCAUACUUUGUUCUCACACAUGGAUCCUAUCUCGGAUUUCAUAGCCUCAAGCCAUUUGUUGGAAUCCGGGCCCGCCAUCGCUUCUUCAUAGUUCGAAGGUUCACCGUUGUCUAACAACAUGAUUUCCAUCACAGGGCUGCCGUACCACUCUGGUGCGGAGCGUGCCCUUGUGGACCUUCGCGGUUCAGUAGUAACUUGAUCCGAAGCUUCAUGAUCAUCAUCAUUAACUUCCUCUUCAGUUGGUGUAGGCGCCACAGGAACAACUUCCCGCGUUGAGCUACUAUCCUGUUCGAGAGGGGGUGUAAUUACCUCAUCAAGUUCUACCUUCCUCCCACUUACUUCUUUCGAGAGAAACUCUUUCUCUAGAAAGGAUCCGUUCUUGGCAACAAAGGUUUUACCUUCGGAUCUAAGNNNNNNNNNNNNNNNNNNNNNNNNNNNNNNNNNNNNNNNNNNNNNNNNNNNNNNNNNNNNNNNNNNNNNNNNNNNNNNNNNNNNNNNNNNNNNNNNNNNNGUGAUAGUGAUGAUGAUGAUGCAUUUAUUGAUGAUGAUUAUUAGUUUGUAAGAUUCACAACUUAAAUUAUAUAUAUUUUAAUCUUUAUUAUUCAUGUACAUAUUAUUAUUCAUGUCAGUUAUUCAAUUUUUUUAUGUUGUACUAAUUUCUUUUAAUCUUUAUCAUGGCAGGUCACCUGGUGUUGAAAGAUGGUGGGCGCUGGUCCAGAGCGCUCGACGGGUUCUUCCCAGCCGCCCCGCACGAGGGGUGGUACUUCCCUUCCACCCCUAUGUCUCCGUAGAGCCUUGGCAGACAGUCUGUCGACACCACCCGUGGGUUCUUCUUCGUCGGCGGCAUUGCCCACUGGGAGAGGUGCUCUUCGGGUAGGGAAGAAGGGGAAGGGUACAUGGAGAGGUGGUGGCCACGGAAGAUCCAGGAGGACUGUUGAGCCGUCCUCGCCACCACCACCAGCUCAUUCACCCGAGCAUACGACUACUAUGGUCGACCCGUUUGCGGAAGAGGCUACGGGGACUCCGGUCUAGGAGCGUGGUGUUGACGGGCAUUCGUCCCAUGAGACUCCGGUCCAGGAUCAGCCUCGGGUCGAGGUGCAUUCGUCCCACGAGACUACGUUUCCGGAGGCUUCACCCGACGUGGAGAGGCCCGGAUGGGAUACCUGGCCGGAUCGGACCGAGUUGCCGGAUUGGACCGAGGGUCCGAGUGGCUCAGGGGGCUGGGAUGGCGGGGAUGAGUUUACGGAUAGUGAGGGCGAUGUGCAGGUGGACGGGGCCACCGUGUACAAGAGUGGUAGUACACGUCUCCCGGUCGUGCCGGCUACCCGCGAGCAGAGGCCGGUGAUUAAACCUGAAGGAGAUAGGUAAGUACAUUUACUCUUUUUUAGCUUUUGCCUUCAAGUUUGUUCAAAUAUCUAAUGUGUUGACCUUAUCAUACUGCAGGGGAUGGGUACACCCUAUUGGAGUCCGCAGGCCGAACUCCGUCCUUGGUGUGCUUUGCCGGACAAAUUUCCCGGGGUUUGUCACGUUGCUUGGUGAGGGUCAGGUUCCUACACUAGGAUUUUCCUGGGAGCACUACCAGGCUGCGCAAGCCCCGCCGGAAGAGAUUAUAGAUGGUGUCUUGUGACACACGAGGGUCGAGAUGGUGAUCAAGAGCUUUUGGGUAAAUUAUCCUUUUACACAAUCUAAAAUUAACAAGAUAAGUAAUUAUUGUACUAAUCGGUGUUUUCACGUUUGAUUGCAGACCUUCUAUAGGUGUGAGGAUGGAUAUGAGGAGGAGGCGGCCAAGGUUCUCGAGGCCGAGUGUAGGCGGUUACUACAGAACUUAUGCCACGAGGCUCGGCCGCAGGCUAUUCGAGACUACUAUGCCACGCGUGGUAUUAAGAAGCAGAAGAAGGAUUGCCGCGGAAAGUUUCUGAAGAAGGAGCAAUACAUGAAGGUAAUUACCUAUUCUUAAGUCCUUAUACGUAGUUUUCUUGAUUUCAUUCAUAGGCGUAGCGCUCAAAAUUCUUUCUAAUAACUUACAGGUGCCCCCGAGAUGGUGUGCGGAUAAGAUGGAUUGUUGGGAGGCGUUGGUUGAUGAGUGGUGCACAGGCAGCUGGCGAGCCGUCCACGAGAAUGCGAAGGAUCGGCAUAGCCAAAUGGUUGGUGUGCCACACCAUCAAGGCAACGCCAACUUACUUCAGUUUGGACGAAACUGGGUAUGUGAUUUGCUUCAUGAUUCAUGCAAUUCGUUCUUCAUGCUAGUGUUUUGAUCCUCUCUUUUAGGCGCAUCACAAUAAUACGGAGAUGCCACACUUGUACGACCUUUAUGGCAUGGCCCAUACUGCCUCGUACAAGAAGGCGAAGGCAUUCUCUGAGUCUGACCUGGAUGAUCCCAAUAACUUCACCAACAUAUCAUCCCACCACAAGCUCGUGGCAUACAGGGACGCGGGGAAGGCUAUGAAAGGGGAUGACUUUAACCCUAGCCAGGAACCUUUGGAUCCAAAGCUGGUGAUGAUAUCUGGUGGCAGGAGGCCCCAUGGCUCGAUAGCCAUUGGAGCUGGGAUAAUACGUUGUCCACUCACUCUCCCGGAGAUCAAGGCGCGCCAGUCGAGCAGUUGUCCUGAGAUAACGCGUCGUCCACGGCCAGUCGAUCUUGCCAUCGAGGUUAGUUGUACGGACUAAGAACACUUUCAUCCAUUUCAUUAUGUGUGUCACCAUAGAUCAUUACUGUGGUAACUAGGAGUGGUGUUUCAGGCUGCUCUUCGGAAAGAGAGGUUGGCAAACUAGGCUGCUCUUGAGAAAGAGAGAUUGGCAAACCAGGCUGCUCUUGAGAAAGAGAGAUUGGCAAGCCAGGCUGCUCUUGAUGAGAGGGACCAGACCACGACACGAUUGAUUGAGGAGGAGAGGUCCCGAAAUGAGGCGGGUCAACGGGCCGUGUAUGAGCUUUUUGUGGUAAGUUUUUUUUCACAUUAGCCAAAUCAUGUGUGUAAUGUCUGUUUCAUUACUAACUAAUACGACCCACUCUUCACGGUCAGUGCGAGAUGAGCGGUCAAGUCCCUCCGUCGAUGCCCGUCUUCUCUUCGAUUAGCAUGGUGAGUUUUAUUAUAAACUAGUAUUAAUAAUUUAGUGUCAUCAUGCUAACUCAGACAUUGCAAAAUAUCUAUUCUGCAGAAUAACUCCCGAGCGGCAUCGCCCGACCCUUCUCCACGUAUUUCUCCUCCUUGAUGACCACUACGGUAAGUUUAUAUUCUCCUCUUUCAUAUAAUGACAUAGUUAGCUAAUUUAGCUCCAAGAAGAGGAGAAGAGGAGGAGGAGGAGAAGGAGGAGAAGGCCAAGGACCUUCUAGUCCUUCUCCUCGUCCUCCUCCUUCUCCUCCUUCUUCUUUAUUUCUUCUUCUCCUCCUCCUCCUCCUCUUUCUUCUCCUCUUUCAUAUUCUCCUUGCCUUAAUUUCCCCAACAAUGACAUAAUUAGCCCAUUUAGCUCCAAAAUGCCAUAAUAACCUCAAAAUGGCAUAAGAACCUUGGUUAGCUCAUUAAUAUUAUAUACUUAGCUUGUUUUCCUCUAAAAUGGGACAAUUAGCCCAUUUAGCUCCAAAAAUACAUAGUUAGCUAAUUUAGCUCCAAGAAGAGGAGAAGAGGAGAAGAAAUAGGAAAAAUGAAAAGAAAGAAGAAGAAGAAGAAGAGAAGAAGGAGAAGGAGGAGGAGGAGGAGGAGAAGAAGAAUAAAUAAAGAAGAAGGAGGAGAAGGCCAAGGACCUUCUAGUCCUUCUCCUCCUCCUCCUCCUUCUCCUCCUUCUUCUUUAUUUCUUAUUCUUCUUCUCCUCCUCCUCUUUAUUCUCGUCUUUCAUAUUAUCCUUGCCUUAAUUUCCCUAACAAUGACAUAAUUAGCCAAUUUAGCUCCAAAAAGACAUUAUAAGCUCAAAAUGGCAUAAGAACAUUGGUUAGCACAUUAAUAUUAUAUACUUAGCUUGUUUUCCUCUAUAAUGACAUAGUUAGCUAAUUUAGCUCCAAGAAGAGGAGAAGAGGAGAAAUGAAAAGGAAGAACAAAAAGAAGAAGAGAAAGAGAAGAGAAGGAGAAGGAGAAGAAGGAGGAGGAGAAGAAGGAGAAGGAGGAGGAGGAGGAGGAGGAGGNNNNNNNNNNNNNNNNNNNNNNNNNNNNNNNNNNNNNNNNNNNNNNNNNNNNNNNNNNNNNNNNNNNNNNNNNNNNNNNNNNNNNNNNNNNNNNNNNNNNGAGAAGGCCAAUGUGGCCGUCGAACGCUGCAAAGAGGUGGAAUCCCGCCUGAGCGCCCUCCAAGGGGAACAUGCCAAGCUAGUCGAGCAACGCCGCUCGAAGGAGGAGGAACUCAAGGCCUGUGAGGCCAAGCUUGCCGCCCGGGAGAGGGAGCUGUCCCGGGAGACGAACCGCCUGGGAGCAGAACAGGAGCUCUUGGUUGAGCGGGAGAAGGAUGCCACNNNNNNNNNNNNNNNNNNNNNNNNNNNNNGCGGGAGAAGGAUGCCACCACGAAGGAGGCUCUCCUUGAGGCCUGGGAGAAGGCCCUCGCCGCAGCCAAGGAAAAGAAGGCCUCCGAGCUGGCAUGCUUCCCCGACGUCGAGCUUGUGCUUCGCAAGGCGAUCCACUACCUCUGUCGGGGUGGGUUUGACGAGCCUCUGGCUACCCCGGAGGAAAGCAUUUCCAUGCUCGCGAAUGGGCUCGUCACAGCGCUGCGGGAUGCCGUCAUGCAGAUCGACAAGUCCUUGGCGAGUGAAUGCCACGACCUCUUCUUCGCGGUCGUGACUCGUGUCUUCAGCCACGUUCAUCUUCGCGACCCCGAAUUUGAUCUAAGCUUCGUGAUCAUGUGGUUCCUCCCAGGGCCCGCGACCGCGUCGUGGAGUCGGUGAAGGGUCUUGUGGAGGCGUUGGUGAGGAAGUUCGCCCGCGUCGUGCCCCCCUCGUCACCAGGUACCGCUAGAGGCGACGAUAGGGAAGACAAUGCCUCCGAUGUCGACGACCAGCCCCCUGUGGAGGGGGUGACCGACGGCGGCUCCUCUUGAUCUACUGCACUUGUUAUUUCUCUGCAAUGCACAUCGUGCCUCGUGGAGGCGUCAAACUUAUUUGUGUUUUUUAUGAACUGGGUCAUGGUCUGUAAUAAUUGAAUGCUCGAUUGUUUUCCUCGGCUUGUUCCUAUCAUUUUUUCCGUGUUUCUCUAUGUCGGCAAGGCCGGCCCUGCUCGUACCUUCCCGUGAUUGGACUGACCGGAAACCAAGGACAACCCAAAGGGGGAAGGGGCUAUGAGCGCAGUUAGGCUCCUGAGUCGCGAUGCUCAGGAAUCCCCCUUGACGCGCAAGCUCCUCUCAUGAGGAGGACGUGGUGAAGAUUCCGAAACUUAGAACAUUUUCAGCACUCUGUGUCGGGAGAGCCUGCCCCGCGCAUACCUCGCCGCGAUUGAACCAACCAGAAACCAAGGACGGCCCAAAGGGGGAGUGGCUAUGAGCGUAGUUAGGCCCGUGAGUCGUGAUGCUCAUGGGUGCCCCUUGACGUGCGAGCGACUCCGAUCCUCUUCGUAAGAAACCGAUGGUGUGAGACUCUCGAACUCCUUCAACACUCUGCAUCUGCAGGGCCCGCCCCACGCGUACCUCCCCGCAGUUGAGCCGACCUGAAAGGGGUGGCUAAAAAGGGAAAGGGGCUACGGGCACAGUUCAGGCUCCUGAGUCGCGAUGCUCAGGAGUCACACUUGACAUGCGAGUGACUCCAGCAUUCUUCCUAAGGGAUUUAAAGCGACUUGUUGAGCGCAUUGGGCUAUGUGUCCGCAGGGCCCGCCCCCUGCGUACCUUCCUGCGAUUGAACCGUCCAAGGACGGCCCAAAGAGCGAAGGGGCUACGAGCAUAGUUAGGCCGCUGAGUCGCGAUGCUCAGGGGUCCCCCUUGAUGUGCGAGCGGCUCCGUACCUUCAGUUGUUUGCCCACACGCUGGGUGUGGGCGGAGCUGUGGAUGUAUUGCGCUGAUCCCCUCGAUGGCCUUGGGUGUAGCCAUUGGCGGGCUGUGUUAAUGCCGGUUGAGGGCGUAGUCAUCGGCGGACUAUAUUGGUUGCCCAUGUAUGUACCCAGCGCGGAGCAUAGGUCUUCUACUAGGCAUAGGGUGGACCCCUCCGUGUCCUCGGGGGGCCCUGGGCGUAUAUAGCCUCGGCUCGUUAUUACGUUAGAGUGUCACGGUGGGGGUGUAUAUGGGAGGUCGCGAGAAAGAUAGGGCCUUGCAAGUGUCCCUACCCCGAGGCAUCGGGGCCUGAUCUUCUCCCCAGCGUGGAGCGUAGGUCUGCCACUCGGUAUAGGAUGGACCCCAACNNNNNNNNNNNNNNNNNNNNNNNNNNNNNNNNGACCCCAACGUGUCCUCGGGAGGCCUUGGGCGUAUACAGCCUCGGCUCGUUAUUACGUGAGAGAGUCACAGUGGGGUGUAUAUGGGAGGUCGUGAGGAUGCUAUGGCCUCGCGAGUGUCCCUACCCCCGAGUCAUUGGUGGACUGAAUUGACUUGGUUUGGGUCAUUGGCAAACCCUGCUCACUUCUUCUUUAGGAGAGGGGCUCCGCACCUGCACGAACAAACUUUGACCGGAGCCCCCAAGCGGGGGCCGAUCGCCCGACAAUAUAACCAAGGCGGAACGUUAGGAUGCCAAGCAGGUGCAAUUGAACAACCAAAUGAUGCAUAAACGAAAGUAGUAGCUGGGGAAAGUACAGAGCUCGGGGAGGCCGCAUGGCCCUGGGGUUACCUAUGGACUGGGCGAACCGAAAGGUUACCUGGCAGCGGCCAGCAAAAAGUUACCUAGCGGCCGAGCUGCUGAAGUGCCGGAGGCUCUGUUGUCGCUUGAUUUCCUGGAUCCGCAGUCGCGACCCUCACGGGUCCAUCGCCCCCCGAUCUAGGGGCCUUCGCUUGGCCCGAGCAUCUUCUCCUCCUCCUCGUGGCGCCCAAGCACGCAAGGGAGGAGAAUGGCCUGCUGGAGCCUCUGGUACGUGGCAGCCGCGUUCCUCAGCCCGGAGAGCAUGAAGGCUUCAGUGCUCGGGUACUCCCACCAGUAGCCAGUCUGCGUAGGACAGAAGGGGUCGUGCGCCAUGGCUGCGUUGGUUGCAGACGCGUUAAUGCAGAUGCGGGGCCGGUCAACUGUGCAGACAGCGGCGACUGCGAUGGGUGGUGCGGGGCAGUUACCGUGUCGCAUGGUCUGGGCCUCGAGAAGUUCUCGGAUUUCUUUGAUGACGGACUCGCGAGAUCUGGUCGAACGUGCUCCGGAGUGCGCCCUCGGGAUGUGCUCAGACACCGCCUCUGUCUCACUGAUCAGGCUAGGGGCCUCCCCGGUGGGAGCCCCCUAGCCCUGAUCUAAGAGGGACGCCGAGCGCACAUCCCUAUGCGAUGGGGGGCAGGGAUCCGUCCCCGAGCAUCGAACACAAAGCCCCGAGGCACUCCGCAGGGAGGAACUCCUUCUUGAGCGGGGCUUCGUGAGGCAGCUCGUCAUCUUCAUCAUUUGAGCGUUCUGACGUUGCCGCACGGUACGCUCUCUCCAGUGCGUAGACAUCAUCCUUCUCAUGACAGGGUAUGGUGAUGUCACCACCGCUUCCCGGCAUCUUGAGGACAUUCUAUCCAUGGUGGACCACGACCAUGAACUUGGCAAGCACUGGUUACCCGAGGAUGGCAUUGUAUGGCAGAUGGAUGUGCGCGACGUCGAAGAGGAUGACCUUGGUGUGAUAGUUGUGGCGCUCGCCAAAGGUGACGGGCAGGUGCACUUGCCCAAUGGGUACGGUGGAUCCCUUUGUUACCCCUGAGAAGGGCUUGGUCGGCAUGAGUUGCUCAUACGGCAGCUGGAGCUUCUCGAAGGUCUCGACUGAGAGGAUGUUGAGCCCAGCUCCACUCUCAAUGAGAGUCUUGGUGACGAGGACGUUGCUGAUAGUUGGGGUGCACAUCAUUGGGAGCUUGCCAGCCAGGAACGAGCACCUGAGCUGGUCGCUUGGGUCGAAAGCAAUGGUGGUCUGGGACUAGUUGAGGGGACGUAUCGCUUCAGGCCUCGGGAGGGCGACAUUCACCUCCUGGGACAACUGCAUGAAGGCGUGGUUGGAUGCUGGGGUCUGGGCACCACCCAGGAUGGAAGCUAGUGCCCUGGCAUUCUGGAAGCCCCCAGCCCUGUCGUCUUGCUUGUCUUCGUUCCUCCUCCUGGGCUGCAGGGGCAGCGAGGGCAGCCUGGUCUCUCGAGGGCGAGCCUCACGAGGUUGGCCGCUUCGCUGGCCCUCCUGAGGAUUAUCACGCCAGCGGUCCUCCUGAGGUUGGCCAUGCCAGGGGUCCUCCUGAGGCUUCUCAUGCCACCCCUGACGUGGCUCACGAUCAUCCCAGCGGACCCCAUUGCGGCCUCCUCCAUGCAGGGUUUCUGUAGAACUGUCCGGGAUCCUGUUGAAGUGUUUGGCAUGAACCAAACGUAGUUCUUGACAUUCAGAGGUGUCAUGGCCGAUGGUGCAAUGGAAGAUGCACGUCGGCCCUCCUCCAGAGGGGCGCUCUCCCCCCUCGAGUAUGCUUCGUUUCAGGCUCGGCGGCUAGUACCGCUGGGGCCUUGCGCUUCAGCUCCUUGGCUUUGGCCUUCUUCUCUUCUGGGUCCGCCGCCUGGGGCCCAAGGAGCGAUAGGCGUCCUUCUUCCGCCUUGGCGCACUUGCUUGCCAAGUUGAACAUCUCCAAUGCGGUGCUCAUUUCAUCGUUCAUGGCAAGCUCUUCCUUCAUCUUGAGGUCGGUGACUCCGUUGGAUAAAGACGAUACGACAGCCUCAUCCGACGCCUUAGGGAUCAUGAGGCGCAUGACAGUCAAACAUUGUAUGAACUUGUGCAGGUUAUCCACCUCUUGCUGCUUGACGCGCCGCAGGUCGAUCACGGUGGGAGCGCGGUCGCGGGUGCCCUGGAAGUUGGCGAUGAAGCGCUCACGCAAGCCGUCCCAGGAGGUAAUGGACGCCUUUGGGAGGUUGAGGAGCCAUGAAAGCGCGCCACCCUUGAGCGCCAUCGGGAACCAACAUGCCAUGAUCUUGUCGCCACCUCCUGCCGCCUUGAUGCUCAGUGUGUAGAGUUGCAGGAACUCUGUCGGGUCUUGGUUUCCGUCGUAACAUGGGGGCAGGUCGGGCUUGAACUUGCAGGGCCAUGUGCCGGGGUAGAUAUCGGGGGCGAUGGUGAAGCACCCCACCGGUCCAACAAGCACAGUACGCGCGGGGGCUGCCUGGUCUUGUUGUUCCUCAGGGUCUGCCUCGAGCAGAGCACGCUCCGGGCGCGAGAUCUACAACGCCAGGGGAGCGCACGCGUUGGCGCGGGGCCUGGGGAUCAUCUGGCAGCUUGCUUCAUCCCCGGGCCUCGCCCUGGGUUCACGCGGCCGAGCACGGAGUCGUGCUUCCUGCCCGGGCUCGGGGUCCGCGACAUGCCGCGGAGGCGAGUAUGGCGCGUCUUGCUCCUCGUUGUUCGUCAGGGACGGCUAGGGCCGGAGCAAGCAGGAGAGUGCCGCUGAGUCACCAGCGGCGGCGAUGAGUUCCUCGAUGCGAUGGAUCGAGUUGUCAUGGCGGUCUAGAGCUGGUCGGUAAGGGAGAAGCUCGGUGGUCAUGGCAAGCGGGCGGCGGCCAUGGGGCCUCCCUAGCCGAGCGCGGGAUGCCGACGCCGAAGGCCUGACGAGCGACGGCGUGGCGGUGCAGCUGUCGACAUGCUCAGUCGGAGGUUGGGAGCAGCCCUGUUGCUCUAGAGCUUCGGGGCUGGUAGCAGCAUUCACCACGGGUGACGGUGACCGACACGCACCGGCAGCACCGACGGGUGCGGUCCGGGCGAUGCGGGUGGCGCGAUGUUCCGCACGUACCCGGUGUGUAUCAGCCAUCAGAGCCAUGGAGUUUGGUGAGGACGGAGCUUGGAGUAAACCUCGACACGCCCCUACCUGGCACGCCAAAUGUUGGAUUUCGGGCUCUGCAAAACCCUAAGGACUCAAACACUGGCGCGUGUACAAAGAUCUCCCCUUCUUCGCCUCGCCUGUCUCACUACUCGAUGGAAACAAUGAAGGACUCACUAGAAGGUGAGGAGAACACAGAACCCAGCAACUUACCCAGGUUCGAGCCGCUAUGAAGCGUAAAACCCUAAUACUGCUUUGGAGGAUUGCCUCUCUUCAAGGUUGAGGAACGAGAUGGUACAUGGCUUUUGCGCCUCCGGAGGCCAAGUGGCUAAGCGUGCUGCACUAGGGUUUCGAUCCCCUCUCUCAAGUAUCUGUUGGGCAAGGUUGCAUGGGAAACAAAAAAAUUCCUACGCACACGAAGACCUAUCAUGGUGAUGUUCAUCUACGAGAGGGAGGUCAUAUCCACAUACCCUUGUAGAUCGCUAAGCACGAAGUGUUAAGAAAUGUAGUUGAUGUAGUGGAACAGCUUUGUGAUUCAAAUCACCAUUGUCCCACGAUCCGUCCCGAUCUAGUACCGAACGGACCACACCUCUGCGUUCAGCGCACGUACAGCUCGAUGACGAUCUCUGCCUUCUUGAUCCAGCAAGAGAGACGGGGAUGUAGAUGAGUUCUCCGGCAGCGUGAUGGCGUGCUGGUGAUGGUGAUGAUCUAUUCCUACAGGGCUCCGCCCGACCUCCGCAAAAAACCGAUCUAGAGGAAGAACUACGAAGUAGAGGUUUAGGGUUUCAUGUGGCAAAGUUUUUUCUCAAGAACACUAAAAUCUCUAGUAUAUAUAGUAGGAGGGGAGGGGCUAGCCUUGGGGAUCAAGAGAGCCCCUAGGGCGUCGGCCGAGUGGAGGAGGAGGGACUCCCACUCCAAUUCGGUUUGGGAAGGAGGAGUCCCUUCCUUCCUUCCCACCUCCCUCUUUUUUUUCUCCUUUGAUUUUUCCUCUUGGACGAAAUAGCCCUAUUAGGCUGGCCUCACCAGCCCACCAAGGGCUGGUGCGCCACCCAUGGCCUAUUAGGUUCUCUCCCGGGUGGGUGGCCCCCUCCCGGUAAAAACCCGGAACCCAUUCAUCACUCCCGGUACACUGCCGGUAAUGCCCGAAAUCUUUCCGGAAGCCAAAUGAAACAAUCCUAUAUAUCAAUCUUCGUUUCCGGACCAUUUCGGAAACUCACUUGAUGUCUGUCAUCUCAUCCGGGAGUCCCAACAAACCUUCGGUCGCCAACACCUAUAACUCAACUAUACUGAAACGUCACCGAACCUUAAGUAUGCAGACCCUGCGGGUUCGAGAACAAUGCAGACAUGACCUGAGACACUCCCUGAUCAAUAUCCAAUGGAGGGACCUGGAUGUCCAUAUUGGAUCCUACAUAUUCUACAAAGAUCUUAUCAGUUGAACCUCUGUGCCAAGGAUUCAUAUAAUCCCGUAUACCAUUCCCUUUGUCCUUCGGUAUGUUACUUUCCCGAGAUUCGAUCGUCGGUAUCCCUAUACCUAUUUAAAUCUCGUUACCGGCAAGUCUCUUUACUCGUUCUGUAAUACAAGAUCCUGUGACAAACACUUUAGUCACAUUUCUUGCAAGGCUUAUAUGUGAUGUUGUAUUACCGAGUGGGCCCCGAGAUACCUCUCCGUCACANNNNNNNNNNNNNNNNNNNNNNNNNNNNNNNNNNNNNNNNNNNNNNNNNNNNNNNNNNNNNNNNNNNNNNNNNNNNNNNNNNNNNNNNNNNNNNNNNNNNAGCAUGUUUUCUCGAGCCAUGUUGGUACAUGAACAUGGACAUACACAUAUUCUUAGGAACAAAUAAGAAAGAUAAAUGGAGAAGGAAAACCCAAAGCAAUGUCAGAGUUGACAAAACUGCAAUGGCACUUUAUAUGUGGCCCAUCGUCAGUGAGCUGUUUAUGCCUUGCCGGACUCCUCGCAGCCUGGUGGCUUGAAGGCGAUGAAGCUGACGCACUGCACCUGACGCAUGUUGUCGAAUCCGAUGAUGCGGACAUACGCGUCAGGGUACUCCUUCUUGACCUCCUCCACCUCGUUGAGCACCUGUGUGGCGUCGGUGCAUCCGAACAUAGGCAGCUUCCACAUUGUCCAGUACCGGCCAUCGUAGUACCCAGGAGAUGCGUUGUGCUCACGGAAGAUGAACCCAACCUUGCUGAACUCGAGGCAAGGCACCCACUUGGAGCGGAUCAGGUAGUCGACCUGCUUAAGGAGGGCCUCCGUGCUGAGUGGUGGCAAGUAAGACAGGGUCUCGAACUUCUUGAUGCCCUCGAUGGGCCACACCUGCAAAUCAGAUUCACGUCUAUACAUUAAGAGACUAUAACUCUAGUUCUACACGUUUGAUUGUUCUUCUUGACAUCCGUCGGCUUAAAAAUGACUAGAAAGACAGAGACGAUGUUGUUUACCUGCAUGCACCUGAUCCUUCCACCGUUGCUGACGCUGCCGAGGCUAGCACCGUUCGAGCGGCGGCUGACGGGGAGGCCGGCGGUGGACUUGAGCCCCUGGAAAGGAGCGACGGAGGUGGCCGACGAGGCCAUCACGGUGGGGGCCAUAGCUGUACUAUGUAGGUAUAUAGCUUGCUAGAGGGAGGCACACUGGCUUGAGGACUG